AGGGGAUAUGACCACUGAUCCCACAGAAAUACAAACUACCAUCAGAGAAUACGAUAAACACCUCUAUGCAAAUAAACUAGAAAAUCUAGAAGAAGUGGAAAAAUUCCUGGGCACAUACACCCUCCCAAGACUAAACCAGGAAGAAGUUGAAUCUCUGAAUAGACCAAUAACAGGCUCUGAAAUUGAGGCAAUAAUUAAUAGCCCAACAACCAAAGGAAGUCCAGGAGCAGACAGAUUCACAGCCAAAUUCUACCAGAGGUACAAAGAGGAGCUGCUACCAUUCCUUCUGAAACUAUUCCAAUCAACAGAAAAAGAGGUAACCUCCCUAACUUAUUUUAUGAAGCCAGGAUCAUCCUGAUACCAAAUCCUGGCAGAGACACAACAACAACAAAAAAAAGAAUUUUAGGCCAAUAUCCCUGAUGAACAUCAAUGUGAAAAUCCUCAAUUAAAUACUGGCAAACUGAAUCUAGCAGCACAUCAAAAAGUUUAUCCACGUAGUUUAGGAAGGUCUCAUGGCACCAAUCACCCAACUUCUAUCUGUCCAUUCACAGGAGAGCAUGGCUGGACCUCAGCACAACUGCAAUUAGGUGUUUGUACCUGCUGCUGUAGUCUCCCUUUCUGUCCCUUUUCUCCUUAUAUGACAUCCCCCCAUCUGCCUUUCCAUUUUACAUGACUAGCUCACCCUCUGCUACAGCAGAAGGAGAUCCAAUAACAUUAAUUAUACUGACAGUCUGUCACAUUAAUAUAAUCAUUCUUUCCAUUCAUGGACAGCAUGAACAAUUUAAGCGCUCGGGAAAUUGUACAUCCUGCCAAAAUACUAAGUCUUACCCUGACCUCAGUGAGCAGGAAAUGCUCCUGGCCAGACAAUAAUUUGGGGAUGGGGAUA
rnacentral:lncRNA from 1 species